GAUGAACGCUGGCGGCGUGCCUAAUACAUGCAAGUCGAGCGAACAGACGAGGAGCUUGCUCCUCUGACGUUAGCGGCGGACGGGUGAGUAACACGUGGAUAACCUACCUAUAAGACUGGGAUAACUUCGGGAAACCGGAGCUAAUACCGGAUAAUAUAUUGAACCGCAUGGUUCAAUAGUGAAAGACGGUUUUGCUGUCACUUAUAGAUGGAUCCGCGCCGCAUUAGCUAGUUGGUAAGGUAACGGCUUACCAAGGCGACGAUGCGUAGCCGACCUGAGAGGGUGAUCGGCCACACUGGAACUGAGACACGGUCCAGACUCCUACGGGAGGCAGCAGUAGGGAAUCUCCCGCAAAGGGCGAAAGCCUGACGGAGCAACGCCGCGUGAGUGAUGAAGGUCUUCGGAUCGUAAAACUCUGUUAUUAGGGAAGAACAAAUGUGUAAGUAACUAUGCACGUCUUGACGGUACCUAAUCAGAAAGCCACGGCUAACUACGUG
rnacentral:rRNA from 1 species